AGAAAGCAGUCGUUGGAAUAAGGAUAUCACCAUAGUGGGCAUGUGUCAUCUGGGUCGUGAACGCACGGUUCUUCUUCCAGUAGAGAGUUGCUCAACCUCGAAAAUAAAAAUUGAAACUUUUCCUCUCAAAAUCAGUUUAGUUUGCUUCAGCUUCAAUUCUUUGUUGGCUACUGAGCUUCUCUAGUUCUCCGUCUCCCUCGUCUUCUUUCUUGGGUACGAAACCCUUACGUGUACCGAUCAUGGGAGACGGUGAUUUAGACAGUCAAUCUCUCGGAGAGCAAUUUUCAUCUGUUUCAUCACAAUCUCGUCGGAAAUCUGUUCAUCAAGCUCUUGGCGGUGGCACAAUUGCGGAAGCGCUAUUGUGGAAACGAUGGAGUACAGGGGCUUUUCUGCUAGUAGCAACGACUGCCUUUUGGUUCAUGUUCGAAUGGGCUGGAUACGGUCUGUUAUCAUUUGCAGCUAAUGUGUUCUUGCUUCUGGUUACAAUCUUGUUCUUGUGGGGGAAGUCCGCUUCUCUCCUCAAUAGGCCUCUUCCUCCUCUUCCGGAUCUGGAAGUCUCCGAUGAUUUUGUUGUGAGAGCUGCGGAUGUAGCAAGAGCGUGGGCAAAUCGUGUACUGAAAGUUGCCCAUGAUAUCUCUCUGGGAGGAGAUGUGAAACUUUUCCUUCAGGUAAUUUUCAGCCUAUGGUUGAUUUCUUAUAUUGGGAGUCUCUUCAGCUUCCUCACUUUUGUCUAUAUUGGUGCUCUUAUAUCUCUCACUGUUCCUGCUUUGUACGACAAGUACCAGGAUCAUGUUGAUGACAAGCUGAAUAAAGCUCAUGAAGUCCUUUCAACACAUUACAGGAAAAUUGAUAACGUCUUAAGCAUGAUUCUCAGACCUGUAAACAAGGAAAAGAAGAUUCAAUAGCAUGAACAAUUGGGCUCAAAACAUGUCGUGGGAUUCAUACAUGUUGCAUUCAGAGGAGCGGCUAGGACAUCUGCAAUGGUACACAUCUCGUGGAUUGGAGCCACCUAGAAACUCUUGGUUUUUGUUAGCUGAGAUGCCACGUGGUUUCAUCGCCUUCUUCCUGGUACAGCAUACCUUUAACCAACACAAGUCAUCAUUCAUUGUGGGAGAAAUAUUGUUUGCCUGAUAUUGGUGCAUCUAGAAUCUUGAUGUAAUGAUUUCACUAGUUUUUUAUAUCUUUUUGGUUGAUUGUAAUUUCUUCCACACUUUCCCCCCAUUUUUUGUAUUACAAAACUAUAUUGUUUGUGCAUAUCCUUCUUUUCUGUUAAAAACCCUUCUUAAAGCUUAUGAAGUAUCAUUAGAGCAGAUCUGUAUCACAUUGAUGCACAAGUGCUCUUGUGCCAAUACAUUAAUGCAAAUGGAACUUAGAUCA